rnacentral:rRNA from 1 species
UUAAUAACCCCAUAAUAAUAAGUUGCGGCAUCGUGAUAUAUUAAAAGAUUAAUUUGGUUAUGGAUGGCAUGCGUACCAUUAGUUAGUUGGUAGGGUAACGGCUUACCAAGACGAUGAUGGUUAGGGGAUCUGAGAGGAUAGACCCCCACACUGGUACUGAGAUACGGACCAGACUCCUACGGGAGGCAGCAGUAAGGGAUAUUGGGCAAUGGAGGGGAACUCUGACCCAGCCAUGCCGCGUGAAGGAAGACGGCCUUAUGGGUUGUAAACUUCUUUUAUCGGGGGUUAAAGUUUGUAUAGUUAUAUAUGAGAGAGAAAGUACCCGAUGAAUAAGCAUCGGCUAACUCCGUGC